UUAGAGUGGAGGGGCGGCAGGUCUAGUGGUUAGAGUGGAGGGGCAGCAGGUCUAGUGGUUAGAGUGGAGGGGCAGCAGGUCUAGUGGUUAGAGUGGAGGGGCGACUAGUAACCAGCAGGUCUGGUGGUUAGUGUGGAGGGGCGACUAGUAACCAGCAGGUCUAGUGGUUAGAGUGGCGGGGAAGCAGGUCUAGUGGUUACAGUGGAGGGGCAGCACGUCUAGUGGUUAGAGUGGAGGGGCGGCAGGGUAGCCUAGUGGUUAGAGUGGAGGGGCAGCAGGCCUAGUGGUUAGAGUGGAGGGGCGGCAGGGUAGCCUAGUGGUUAGAGUGGAGGGGCGGCAGGUAGCCUAGUGGUUAGAGUGGAGGGGCGGGCAGGUCUAGUGGUUAGAGUGGAGGGGCGGCAGGUCUAGUGGUUAGAGUGGAGGGGGGCAGCAGGUCUAGUGGUUAGAGUGGAGGGGCAGCAGGUCUAGUGGUUAGAGUGGAGGGGCAGCUGGUCUAGUGGUUAGAGUGGAGGGGCAGCUGGUCUAGUGGUUAGAGUGGAGGGGCGGCAGGG
ensembl:lncRNA